GCAUCAAAUAAUAUGUGCAGGAAUGUUAUUGUGCUUUGGCGGGAUAGUAAAAACAGGCUUUGGUGCUGCGCCUCCAUGUUUUGACAGGUUGAGUGUCUUUGCCAGCCGAUAAACAAGCUCGCUGGACCGUCAGCUCCGCUUCGCAUACUUUUAUCCAUUUGGAUUUUGCGUAGGUACUCACAAUUUCUACUCGGGUGUCCUCCAUUUAAAAAUGAUUUUCGUCAGAGUCGACGGUAGCGCGACGCUCAAAUUGUGAUUUCAUUUAUGAUUUUGACGGACGAUUACUCGGCGGUCAUUCUUUAUCUAGAAAUGAUCAUUGAUGAUGACAUUAUGAAAUGCACAUUGUGCUAUUGUGCAGGUGUCCAGUUCCAUUCUUUAGCGCUUCUUCCCUUCCACAAAUAUCUCAGUUGCGCGCUUGACAGGUCCAGCUCGAUUUCUUUUCAUUGGCAGCGCGUCAAAAGCAAUUGUCAAAGGUCCCUCAGCGGGAUUCCCGCCUCCGCUCUCCUCCCGAGAAGCGUCUGCUGUCAAGACUGUUCGCAUGAUUUUUCCGCCGGGUGUCCGCAUCUGUGCCUGAUUUGCACAAGAAUAAAGAAGUCCCCUCGGCUAACCCCUGACUUAAUUAGAAGCCAUCUUCAACUGUGGACAAAGACGCUACAGCUAACAGCGAGGCUAACAAGUGUUUUCUAGGCUAUCAAGUGUUUGCCUUCACGUUGAUUUCGACAUAAAGUAAGACCGAGGCUUGAAAUCUGCAAACGACGAAGAAGGCCACUGUCAAGUGCAUCAUUUAACCGCUUGUAAACAAUCGCAAUCCCUCCCUUUAUUAGCCACCCUCAGCUAAAUGAGCGCAGACUUCUCCUCCCCGUUUGAGCCGUAAAACAACAAAGCCAAAAAGUGGAUCGGCGCGGGCAUCCCGUGUGGGGCCUCCAAUGAGGAGGCGGGGCUGCGUCUUUACGAGGCCCGCUUAUCGCCAGGUGUUAAACUCACUCCACAAUUCGGAGCCGCUAUCGGCUUUGAAAGACGGUAACGCGGGGUCUGCGCUAAUUGGCUUUCAAAGUGGAGUAGAUAGCUGACCUAAGAAUGUUUGUAAAAGUGGCGACGACCAUUUUCGUUGGAAAAAAACUAUUUUAACCGUGGCUUUCCUGUGUCUUGUUUCGAAGUAAAGUGAUUCCAGGCGUGCGCGUGACGCAGAUCCCGGGCCCGUGCCAUUAAAGCGCUAUCUGCAAGCAAGCCGACCGUUUAGUAGCAAGAUUGCGAUACGGUUUCAAGUGGAGGCCUUUUCGCUUCCAGGGGACUCUCACCCGUAUCGAAAUCAAAUCGGCAAAUUGGAGUCAAAAUAAGGUGAGCGUUUGUGAGCUUGCAGUCUUCAAUGUUUUGGGAAUUGGUUUGGUUUUUCGGGCAGCGGGGACUCCGAGGCUCAAAGUGGAAUAGUUCCGACUUUUCCAAUGUUCUUCAAUGCGUCAUUACGCUUCCUAUGCAACACUUGAAAGCAAGCAGCGGUUGCAUUCCGAAAGCAAAAUAUUCGACAGGUUGUGAUGGAGCGUGGCGAGGGAAGAAAAAUAAAGACAUGACCUGGACAAAUUGAUUUUGUUGUUGUGCUAGCAUGGCAACUUUCAUGCCUGCUCUUUCCACAAGGGGUGUGUGUACUUUGUAUAUCCACCAUGUGCCUCAGCAAGUUCCAAUUUUAUUACGGCCUCUGUGAAGACCUUUGAGAAAUCGGCGCCUCCUGCGGUCAGCCGAAAUCAAGCGGCCUGGCCGGCGUACAUAGUUAGGCUUUUGUCACUUUUUUUUUUUCAAGAUAGCUUUUGUCUUGAGACAGAUAAAGCAGGAGGAGGUCUCUCACACACACACACACACACACACACACACUGAUAACACACUAACCUUUGAUGUAAAUCCUGCAGGGAAGAAGAUGCAAGAGGGGGAUUGGAUGGGAGGAGAAACUACAGUGAGAUUAGAGGAAUAGCUUCAGGGAAUGGUGUUUUUGUUUCAGGAUGUUGUGCCGCAAGAGGAUGAACCUGGACUGCGGAGGCUCUUCAGUGCAUCCCGAAGCUGACAAGAAUGUGCAUGUGCGUGCCUGAGUGGACAUCCACGAGUUCAAAGUGUGGACAAGACGUGCUCAAGUAGAAGGAAGUCCCGCAUAAACUCAAAAUCCGCCUGGCGUCCUUUCAUUCAUCUGCUCUGACUGUUGGCGUCUCCAUCCCCUCCCAGCAGGAAAAAUAAACUUGACCCUUCGCAUCCUGGCGAGAUGUGACCUCCGACCCCACCCCCCUGACUGGGCCAGAGUGUUCCGAGGCUCCUCAUUCCAUCCAUCACAGUCUCUCCUCCAGAAAUUCCUCAAAUGGCAAGCGCUGUAUGCUUCUCGCCCGGCAGUUGCCGCACCCACCUCGGCGCCCCCCUCCGUACUCCCGUGGCGGGACGCUUGGAGAAGAACCCCUGCCCCCCCGCCCGCAGUGGACCUCAUGUGACCCACACUAUGAGAGUGGCAGGGAAGCACAAAAGCACGCUGGAGAGUUUUAAAGGUACUUUGCAGUGGAGAGCUUUUUGAAGUGGACACGUUGAGGCCGCGCGGUGCAAGCUUUGUGCAAAAAACACUGAGAUGAAAAACAGAUCAAACUUUCCCUGUGUGGAUUGGAAAAAAAAAUAUUUUGGGCGUCUUUUGCAAUAUUGAUCUUGUACGAUUAAUUCAGAGGAAUAUUUUGACUUUCAUCCCUUCAUUUUUUUUACACAUUUAAUAGAGAUGUGCUCCUCCAAGCCACAUCUCACAAACAUAAUACACAAUCCCGCGUACUGCCCCCCCGGUCCUGUUGAAUGGGGGCGGAUGGGAUGGGGCGGGGCGGGGCAGGGGGCUCUUCCUUUCUCGAAAGAAGACCCCGGCCACCCGUCUAAACAUGGGCGCAGUGAGAAAAUGAAGACCUCUACGCCCCUCGAAAGCAGCAGGAAUUUCUCAUUAAGCGUAGAUUUGGGACCCCCUUCACUCCCUCGAGGGAGGGUGCGGGGGUUCUCCCUCAGCCGGCAGCGCCUCUCAUUCACCUUUUCUCUUUUUCAAUCACGCUUGCAAAGCCCCCGAGCCACUUCCUCUUCCUUUCAGUCCCACUCCUCACACACCUUUUUGUGUGCACGUUCUCUUACAAGGCCUCAAAGAUUUCUUUCUUUUUUUGAUGUUUUCAUCAUAAUAGUCUCUGGUGAUAUUUGUGUCCCAAGGCAGUUGAGGCAGAUUCUCCUUUUCAAAGCGUUUCCCAUUCCCACUUUGGAGUAGGAUUAAUGAGGAUUAUGGAGAUGAGGCGAGGUAAUGAGUUGUGAGGGCCGCCACUUUUUUUUUUUUCCAAACAAAACGCAGCCAAUGGCGAUUUGGCCGCUCGUGGCUUUUUUACGUGUUGGCCAGCUGACUUUGGCGCCUUUUCUUGCACAGCAGCCCCCCAGCUAAGGUUUUAUUUUGAAAAUGGAGCGUGCAGUUAGAAAAGGCUUUGUUUGGGAAUAGGCUCAAUUAUAUUGAGAAAUAAGAUUAAAAAAUUUAUGGAAUAAUAAAUUGAGAAAAAAAGCAAGAUGGACUACAAUCAAAUCCAGUAGAAAUAACUAACAUUCAAUAUUUUUAUGUAUUUUUUAUCUACGCCAUUCGUAAUUACGUACUUUUCAUAAAAAAGCGAUAAUGUUAAUUUUAUUUUUAUAUAUUCUUUUAUAGUUAAAUUACUCGUGAUGUAUGUAAAUUAAACAUGAAAAGUUGAAUACGUAUUGCGUAUGUAUUCUCAUGAAACAAGACUUAUUUUUACAAUAAACCACUCAUAAUUUAUUUUACUUCUAUUAGAAAACAAGUAAUAAUAGAUAUAAAUAAAAAAUGUAUUAAGAUGUCAUCUAUGAAAUAAUCAAAUAUUGCAUCUCACGGCCACUAGGGGUCCUCUUAUUACACUAAUGCAAUGUGCUACCGUUAAAAUGUUCUCAUCUCAGCAUUCCUGUGCAAACUUGUCAGAAAUUGGCAUGGCCAGUCGACUUUGUGCGGAGAGAAAUGAGAGAAUGAAACUGAGAAUUAGAGAGAAAGAGAGGGAAAGAGAGAGAUCCCACGCGGGCCAGAACAGCUGACAGCUGGGUUCAGCUGAGGUCAGAGGGCAAGCAUUGGCGGUGGGGGGAGCAAAGCAGAAUUUAAAAUAACAGGAAGACACACAUGCACACAUACUUGUGCGUAGUCAUCGAUGACUUGCCCUUUUUACUUGCUUCCAUAACAACCGCAACAGCAGAGGUGCCAAAAGGACGUUCACGACUCGUCAGAAGAAGACAAUCAAUGGAUGCUGCCAUGAAUGGUGCUGCCAGGGCCUACUGGCAGAAAAACAAACUCCAGUGUCUUGCUCAAGGACUCUUGGACAUGAUCAUCACCAGGCUUGAGGAUUGAACCCACCACCUAUCUUUUGGGGGGGCCGCACCCCACGUGGCGUAACAAAAUACCCAUGCCAAAACCCGCUACUGGUGUGGAUUUAAAAUCCGGCAAAAGAGCAAAAAAAGAUUUAUGGGGACAAACCAAGUGCUUGAAUCUAUUGCGUCUCAUUUGAGGUACUCUGGCUCCCUCUAGAGCCGAUGAGUGCUACAUGCAAGAUCGAGAAAAAAGUGCUACAUUGGGUCUUCUAUUGUGAAAUCUAAAAAUAUAUAAUCAAAAAUGAAAUAUGUUAAGGUAUGCAUAUGCAUGUGUUUUGUCCAUAUUUAAAAUAGCAUUUUUGUAAUACGUCUGUGGUCCUAUAUAAAGUA